GCGACGUCAUGACGUCGGCGUCCACUGGCGACCAGAAGGGACACGGAGGGGCGGGCCAGAGGGUCCGGUCCCGCCUACAACGCCCGAGGCGCUCCGCCCAGAGCCCGGAGGUGUGCGGCCCGGCGCUGUGCGCGUGCGCUCGCCUGCGCUGUGGUGGGAGCUGGAGCGGAGGUAGAAGCUGAGGCUCCAGGGGACCCGACGACACUUGCUGGCUGCGUGACCUCGGUCACACCAGGGCCAUUUUGCUGACAAGACAACAGAGGCCGGGCGCGGUGGCUCACGCCUGUAAUCCCAGCACUUUGGGAAGCCGAGGUCAGUAGGCAUCCAGCGCUGGGGCAGCUGCUUCAGGACAUCGCCGAGGACAAGUCUCCUCCCCAUUCUGGUUCCACCAUCUGUAGCCUGUGGCUUUCAUCCUCAAGGGCUCCAUGCGACCGCUGCACAUCCAGGCCCAGUUCCAAGGUGCAAGGCUACUUGUGCCAGCAAGAUAGCAGAAGCAGGACAAGAGCUGGCUGGAAGACACCUACCGUGGUGGGAAGACAUGUACCCGUGAAGAUCGAGAAAGAGUCCAUCCGGGUACAACGUAGCAGUUACGUCAGACUAGGACACUUCCUGUUUACAGGAGACUAUAAAACCUUUGCCGCGUCCUCACUUGGGGCUGAUGCCAUUUUAGGCCUCAGCCCACCUGCACCCAGGCGCUCAUUAAAACAGCAUGUUGCGGCCGGGCGCGGUGGCUCACGCCUGUAAUCCCAGCACUUUGGGAGGCCGAGGCGGGUGGAUCAUGAGGUCAGGAGAUCGAGACCAUCCUGGCUAACAAGGUGAAACCCCGUCUCUACUAAAAAUACAAAAAAUUAGCCGGGCGCGGUGGCGGGCGCCUGUAGUCCCAGCUACUCGGGAGGCUGAGGCAGGAGAAUGGCGUGAACCCGGGAAGCGGAGCUUGCAGUGAGCCGAGAUUGCGCCACUGCAGUCCGCAGUCCGACCUGGGCGACAGAGCGAGACUCCGUC
rnacentral:lncRNA from 1 species